CAUCCCUGCCCGGAGUCCAGCCCAGGCCACUAUGUCGGCCCUGGCUUGUCCGGGAUCUGCCCAGCACCCCCCUCCUCUGUGUUGUACCGUUCCUUCCCCCCUCCCCCUUGCCCCAGGCUGGGAGUGACUCCAAGUGGAGCAGGAAUGCUGGGAUCUCUGGGCAGGAAGCAUCCACCGCCCUUCACAACUGCACGCGAAUCUCCUUCCCGACAGGCGGCAAGGGGGCACCCGCCGCCUGGUGGAGGGAAACCAGCACCCGUGGGGAGGGGGCGCCUUCCCCUGGGGACGCGCUCAUCGGUGGGGAAGGCUUCCCUGCACUUCCUACCCAACGCUACAAAAUCUUCCAACUGACUGCGUGAGGUUUUCAGGGCUCUCCCAAACCUGCCUCUGCUGGAAGUGCACAGCCACGCACUGGCCAGAUUUCAGCGCGUCUGGAGGGGAGACGCCCCGUUUCUGGCCCCCCACCCCCGGCCCGCUCCACUGCACUUCAGCACCCCCCAAGUGAUGAGCUCGCCGGCUUCACGUGCGCACACCCAAGGUUCCCGGCAUGCACUGCGCCUGAUUCUGCGGGGAAGAGGAGUCCUGAUCUGUCUCCCCUCUCUUCUUCCUCCACCCCCCCCCACUUUCUGGUAUCCAUGUUGACACAUCCUGCAACGGGCCUCUCUGUGGAAUGGGGGCGAGGUUGGCGACCUGCAGAACUCCCUCCCAGGCAAGGAAGAGCUGUCCGCAGUGCCGAGACCCAGGCCCUCCUGUGGACUUCCCAACACUUUUCUCAGUGACUUGGAUGAAGCUGCACCACACCCUUAUGUCUCUGGAGCCAAACUCCUGGAAAAGGCCUCUGGAUCCUCUCACACUCAGGGACAGUUCCAGCUUCCGACAUCACCGUUCCCCAAAGGGAUCCCUUAGGUGCUACAGCCAGUAGCCUUUUCUCCACCCUCCUGCUCCCUGCCUCUGUGCAGUCUGCAGCAUGCCCGGUAUACAGCAGCCUCCUCCAUCAGAUCACAAGCUCCCCGAGGCAGGAACUGGGCUCUUUUCGUAUCCUUGGGAGCCAGGACAGCGCCUGACCUUAGUGGUGCUUAAUAAAUGCUGGCCAAUGGACUGAUCGUUCCAUCUCGGAAUGGAGCCCGGGCUGCAGGAAGAGGAGGUGAUUGUCCUGCUGGGAUCCUCAGCCUUCAUCAAGUGCCCCUCAGUUUAAGAGAGGCACCGAGAAGCUGAGAGUCCAGAGGGGACGGCCAGGAUGGUGGAGGGCCUGGGCUCUGUGUCAUGGAAGGAUCAGCUGAAGGAACUGGGCAGGUUUCCCCCAACAAAGACUCGGGGCAGGGCAUGCACAUGGAGCUCCAGUACCUGAAGGGACAUGCUUUGGCUGUGGUAAAGCUCAAGGAAGCUGGCUGGAGAGAAACGCCCCCUCACAAUCACAGCUGUGCCAUAUCGGGGCCUGACGUGCCAGGGAGGUGGUGGGUGCCACCGAUUAAUGUUACAUGUAAUGGCGGGGCCUCCUCCCUCUCACCAACAGUCCCCUCUGUCCAGGUCCCUUCCCUGAUUCUGCAACACCGGCCCCUCAGGGGCCGCUAGGGAUGGCCCGAGCCUGUCACGGGAGCAGCAGAGAGUGGACGGUGAUUCCCGAGGGCACAUGAACCAGGGUCGCCGAUUUGGAGGCAGCAGAGAAGCUGAAGGAAGCCGGGGGCAUCGCAGUGCCAGACUGAAGACUCCUCUUCCCAAGUUCAAAUCCUGCCUUAGACACUCACCAGCUAUGUGAUGCUGGGCUAAUCCCCAAACCCAUUAGCAAUUUCUGCCAAGAGAACCCCAAAUGGGAUCGUGAAGAGUCGGAUGCAACUGAAAAAUGACUGUCGGGAGAGAAUAAUCCAACCUUGAAUCUGAUCCUUUCCCAAACAUCCUGACCUAAGACCUCCGGGAAGCUCCCGCCUGCCUGGGACAGCUCUGAUCCUCAGGGAACUUUUCCUCUCGUCCCCUCCGCGUUCUGUCCCCCGGGGCCAAGGAGCACAAGGCCCGAGCUAUCUGUAAAGUGCUGAGCACGGAGCCUGGUACACAGUGGUGCUAUAAAAGCUUAUUCCCUCCCCUUCCAAUCCUUAGCCCAUGGAGAUCCCUUUUUUCUCUCUCCCGGCUUUGACACGUGAAGGGAGGGGAAGUAAGCAUGGCUGACCUGCCUCCAUCCAAGUCAUUAACAAAUGUGCGGGUCAGAUGCCCAGCGCACCCCCUCCAAGAAAGGGCUCACUCUAGAGCACGGCCAAAGCUUUCACCGAUGGCAUCAGAAUUAGAGCACAUUCUUUUUGGUGAGAAAACUGAGGGUCAGAGUGGUCCCAGAGCCUGCUCUGGCUGGGUCACUGAGCUACACAGUGUCAACGCCAGGAUUUUCUCAGACAGGGCCAGGAUCACCGACAGGGAGACUGGCGAGAGCCAUGGGGCCGGGGGGAGCUCACAGCACUUAGCAAUGUGUCUGAACGUCACAGCUUCCCCCCAAAUGUGGCCUGGGUCAAACCUGAGCCUGGACUCUAUGAAGACUGGUUCUCUUGAGCAACGACCACCAAGAAGGGCAGGGUACGGACAAAAAGAAUCUCUUUAUUUGAAAUGAGAGAGUUUCCUCAAGGAAAUUUCUUUAGCCUCUCCUUUUCCCAUCAUCGCCACCCCCGACAGCCCAUUUUUCAGACUGCUGA